GGACGCAAAAAAGAAGAGUGGUAGUACUAUCAAUGGUUCAGUCAGCGCCUCAACAGCGUCUGCACUACUUCUGAUAUUGUUUUUCAGUAGCUUUUUUCUGCACCUUUCUCUUUCAGUUCUUAGUGCUGCUGCCCCAUGAACACAUUUUUUUAUUUGACUGUACAUUCAAAUGAAGCCUUUGUUAAGUAUACACUCCAAAAUUCAGUUAACAGUAGCCUAACUGAAUUUUUCUGUUUCUGAAUUUAUAAACUCACUUUAUAUUCAGUUUAUAAAUUAACAAGUAGCUUCAAAAUUAAGUAUCAUUCGCAUGGAUCAACUGUUAUUUUAUUUUGUGGAGGAUAAAGUUCAGAUCAUGAAUAAUGGCAUUACAAGUGAACUUGGCACAAUUACACAUGUCCUGAACCUCAUAGAAUCUGACACUAGCAAGUCUUCAUUGGCAUGCAAGUACUACUUUUACAUUGUCAUGACAGGAACAAUUAAUUUGACAUGUAUCAUUGGUACUGCUAAAACAUUUCGUUCAUGUUUCAACAAAUUUGGUGAAGACCACUUCAUAUGUAUUUUGCAUAUAUGAAUUAUCUCCUGUUGCUUUCUAAGAUGUUAGUUCUUUCAGUUCUAGCCCUCCUAUCUUUAAUUCCUGGCUGCUGGACUACCUGCAGGACAACGAGUUCAUUUGCGGCAGCUAUCGCUGUGAGCAGUCCGUCCACAACGCGCUCCGCAGCGUCUUCGCCGGGCACAACGAGAUCCUCAACGUCUGGAAGGAUAAAGUGAAGAAAAAGAAGAAAAGAUUACUAGAAGAUUAGUUUUAGGAUUUUCUUUUAUUUCCUUGCAAUUUUCCUUUUAUUGGAAACUUGUAAAGACAUUGUAAUAUUCUUACUAUAAUAAAAAUUAUGAUUCUAUUUCA